rnacentral:tRNA from 1 species
GGGCGGGUGGUGUAACGGAUGAACACGGCGCCGUCCGAAGGCGCAGAUUCGAGUUCGACUCUCGGCCUGCCUGCCA